rnacentral:rRNA from 1 species
GACGAACGCUGGCGGCGUGCUUAACACAUGCAAGUCGAACGAUGAAGAAGAGAAACGCGAACUUCGGUUCAAAUUUCACUUCGGAUUAGUGGCAGACGGGUGAGUAACGCGUGAGCAACCUACCUCUUACAAAGGGAUAGCCUCGGGAAACCGUGAUUAAUACCAUAUGACACAUUCAUAAGGCAUCUUAAGAAUGUUAAAGCUACGGCGGUAAGAGAUGGGCGCGCGUCCCAUUAGCUAGUUGGUGAGGUAACGGCCCACCAAGGCGACGAUGGGUAACCGGGCUGAGAGGGUGAACGGUCACAUUGGAACUGAGACACGGUCCAAACUCCUACGGGAGGCAGCAGUGGGGAAUAUUGCACAAUGGAGGGAACUCUGAUGCAGCGACGCCGCGUGAGCGAUGAAGGAAUUCGUUUCGUAAAGCUCUGUUCUAUGGGAAGAAAAGGACUGUACCAUAGGAGAAAGCCCCGGCUAAAUACGUG